AACGAACGCUGGCGGCAUGCCUAACACAUGCAAGUCGAACGAGAUCUUCGGGUCUAGUGGCGCACGGGUGCGUAACGCGUGGGAAUCUGCCCUUUGGUUCGGAAUAACAGUUGGAACCGACUGCUAAUACCGGAUGAUGACGAAAGUCCAAAGAUUUAUCGCCAGAGGAUGAGCCCGCGUAGGAUUAGCUAGUUGGUGUGGGAAAGGCGUACCAAGGCGACGAUCCUUAGCUGGUCUGAGAGGAUGAUCAGCCACACUGGGACUGAGACACGGCCCAGACUCCUACGGGAGGCAGCAGUGGGGAAUAUUGGACAAUGGGCGAAAGCCUGAUCCAGCAAUGCCGCGUGAGUGAUGAAGGCCUUAGGGUUGUAAAGCUCUUUUACCCGGGGUGAUAAUGACAGUACCGGGAGAAUAAGCUCCGGCUAACUCCGUGCCAGCAGCCGCGGUAA
rnacentral:rRNA from 1 species